GAUGAACGCUGGCGGCGUGCCUAAUACAUGCAAGUCGAACGAAAAGACCAGGAGUUUGCGCCUCUGACGUUAGCCGCGGAGGGGAGAGUCACAUGUGUAUAACCUACCUAUAAGACUGGGAUAACCUCGGGAAACCGGAGCUUAUACCGGAUAAUCUAUUGCACCACGUUGUUUAAUAGUGAAAUUCGGUUGUUGUGUCACUACUAGCUGGAUCCGCGCCUGAUUAGCUGGUUGGUAGGGUAACAGCUUACCAAGGCAAGGAUGCGUAGCCGACCUGAGAGGGGGAUAGCCCACCCUGGAGGUGAGACACGGUCCAGACUCCUGCGGGAGGCCGCAGUAGGGAAUCUUACGCAAUGGGGGAAAGCCUGACGGAGCAACGCGGCGUGAGUGAUGAAGGUCUUCGGAUCGUAAAGCUCUGUUAUGAGUGGAGAACCAAUGUGUAAGUAACUAUGCACGUAUUGACGGUACCGAAUCAGAAAGCCCCGGCUAACUACGUG
rnacentral:rRNA from 1 species